rnacentral:rRNA from 1 species
GCAACCUACCUUCAUCUGGGGGAUAGCCCGGAGAAAUCCGGAUUAAUACCGCAUAAAAUCACAGGAUGGCAUUAUCCAAUGAUCAAACAUUUAUGGGAUGGAGAUGGGCAUGCGUGUCAUUAGCUAGUUGGCGGGGUAACGGCCCACCAAGGCGACGAUGACUAGGGGAUCUGAGAGGAUGGCCC